rnacentral:rRNA from 1 species
UACGAGGGGGGCGAGCGUUGUCCGGAAUCAUUGGGCGUAAAGAGCGUGUAGGCGGCCCGGUAAGUCCGCUGUGAAAGUCCAGGGCUCAACCCUGGGAUGCCGGUGGAUACUGUCGGGCUCGAGUCCGGAAGAGGAGUGUGGAAUUCCUGGUGUAGCGGUGAAAUGCGCAGAUAUCAGGAGGAACACCAAUGGCGAAGGCAGCACUCUGGGACGUGACUGACGCUGAGACGCGAAAGCGUGGGGAGCAAACAGG